rnacentral:lncRNA from 1 species
GUCUGGUGUUCUCUCUGAAUGAUGAAAUUAUCAUUCAUUAUAUGAUGACUCUGUUAUACUAUCUGAUGAUCGUUGGAUUGAUCGAGCCAUCUUUGGAUCUGAUAAUUCAUUAGUUAGAAACAUUGAGUAGGUUCAUAUUAAUGGUUGGAUCUAAUCGAAACUUUCAGUGGAGGUCCAUCACCUACUGAAAUAAAAUCUGAGAUAGAAUUAAUUACUAAAAAUUAUUUAAAGAAAUAAUUGAUUGAAAACCUACUCAUAGAAACAUAUGAGUUGAUCGAGCCAUCUUCAUGCUUGUAUGC